rnacentral:rRNA from 1 species
AAUAGAUACCCAGGUAGUCCAUGCCGUAAACGUUGGGAACUAGGUGUGGGUCUCAUUCCACGAGAUCCGUGCCGCAGCUAACGCAUUAAGUUCCCCGCCUGGGGAGUACGGCCGCAAGGCUAAAACUCAAAGGAAUUGACGGGGGCCCGCACAAGCGGCGGAGCAUGCGGAUUAAUUCGAUGCAACGCGAAGAACCUUACCAAGGCUUGACAUACACCGGAAACAUUCAGAGAUGGGUGCCCCGCAAGGUCGGUGUACAGGUGGUGCAUGGUUGUCGUCAGCUCGUGUCGUGAGAUGUUGGGUUAAGUCCCGCAACGAGCGCAACCCUCGUUCUAUGUUGCCAGCACGUGAUGGUGGGGACUCAUAGGAGACUGCCGGGGUCAACUCGGAGGAAGUGGGGAUGACGUCAAAUCAUCAUGCCCCUUAUGUCUUGGGCUUCACGCAUGCUACAAUGGCCGGUACAAAGGGCUGCGAAACCGUGAGGUGGAGCGAAUCCCAAAAAACCGGGUCUCAGUUCGGAUUGGGGUCUGCAACUCCG